ACAGCCGGAGCUUGAGCUCAGAAGAUCGAGUCCUCCUCUAGCACUCAGGAAGCCCAGGGUUGAUUGCUCAUUUUCAUCACCACAUACAACAGAUGCUGCGGUGCAUGCCGGUAGUGCCAGCAUUCCAGAGGCGGAGGUGCGAGGGUCCAACUAUCUGCCGGCACUAACUGUUCCUAACGCCCAUCAAAAGGAGGUGGCAUCUGAGCCGGUGCUGGAGGAAUUGGAGGUGGGAAUUUCCAAAGGUGGCCUUAUCUCGCCAGCCUUUUCCGUAAAGGACCCCAGCCUAGGGAAUGGUGCCGCCCAUUUGGACUGAGUCUUCCCAUCUCUGUUAUCCUGAUGGACAAACUCCCACACAGAUGUCUCAGGUGAUUCUAGAUCCUGUAGAGUUGCCAACCAACAUCAACCACCACAGCCAUGCUGGGUUGAUUACACUUUGAGAAUGUGUACAUUGAAGUUUCAGCUAUGUGACCCAAUACGAACGUCCUACCCUAAACUCCAAGAUGCCUCAGUCACACUGGAAGGAUUUUCUGAGAAAAUGUUGGGGCAUGUCAAGGAAAUGUGAGCCAGCUUGUAGUACACCAUUUCUCUUAAGCCUGGCAUCAGAAACCAAGGAAAAUACAAUAUAGGCCAGUGGAGAAGACUCGGUUGAUAAAGUGCUCACCCCGUAAGCACAUGGACCUGAGUUUGAUCCCCAAUGUUCCCAUACAGAGCCUGCAUGACAAUGCAUGACUGCAAGCCCAACACUGAGAAGUGGAGAUCGAUCUGAGGUCUGUUGGCUGCUGGCCUGGCUGAACUGAUGUGUUCCAACUCACUGAGGGACUUUGUCCCACAAAAUAAGAUCCAGCCGGCUGGUGGUGGCACAU
rnacentral:sRNA from 1 species